rnacentral:ncRNA from 1 species
UAUGAUGAGCGGUAAGUCCGCUUUGGGUUGUUUGAGGUGUUCCCAUCCAUCUGGUUGGUUAAGCCUCAACGCAAAAAAUCCAGAGGGCGCGCUCAUU